GCAUAUCAAUAAGCGGAGGAAAAGAAACUAACAAGGAUUCCCCUAGUAGCGGCGAGCGAACCGGGAUGAGCUCAAAUUUGUAAUCUGGCGUCCUCCGGGCGUCCGAGUUGUAAUCUAUAGAAGCGUCUUCCGUGCCGGACCGCGUCCAAGUCCCUUGGAACAGGGCGUCAAAGAGGGUGACAAUCCCGUGCUUGAUGCGACGACCGGUGCACUGUGAUACGCUCUCUACGAGUCGAGUUGUUUGGGAAUGCAGCUCAAAGUGGGUGGUAAAUUCCAUCUAAAGCUAAAUAUUGGCGAGAGACCGAUAGCGAACAAGUACCGUGAGGGAAAGAUGAAAAGCACUUUGGAAAGAGAGUUAAACAGUAUGUGAAAUUGUUGAAAGGGAAACGAUGA
rnacentral:rRNA from 1 species